AAGCUGGAGUCCCUGGAUGUGUGCUUUGCAGAUCUUGGCUGUAAAGUAUCUCACUGGUCUUUCUCUCUGGCACCUCUUGUUAUGCCUCCAGCUGCAGCCAAGCAUCUGGGCCUUGGUCACCGAGUGCUGUGAUUGCAGGCACUCUGUGCUGACAAGUGACUUGGUUGCCUCAGACCAGGUGUGACUCAUUAUUUUCCUCCUGACAUUCCAAGCACUGAAGUAAAUGAUUGAUGGAGGGAAAGAUCCAAAGUGUCAGAGAAGUCUCUCUCUUGGCCGUGAAUAACAGGCUACCUUGAAUUGGUGUUUCCUUUGCGUAUUUUGUUUCUAAGCAAAUCGAGUCCCAGGUAGAGUUUUGCCCUUGAGCAGCUUCAUGAGGUCAAGGAGGGGCGCUCACUCCACUCUGCACGGAAACACUGAGUGGAAUGAAAAUACAACCGGAGAGAAUGUCCUCCCCACCAGAAGGUCGCCUCGAGACAGGCCUCCACGCAUCGUUGCUGACCUCACACAGUGAUACCUCUGCAUGCCGGGGAGCAAUUCCAUCCAGAUUCCCACGUUGAAAUCCUCACCCGCGUGAAGAUGGUGUUAGGA
rnacentral:lncRNA from 10 species